rnacentral:rRNA from 1 species
GGAAUUUUGGACAAUGGGCGCAAGCCUGAUCCAGCAAUGCCGCGUGAGUGAAGAAGGCCUUCGGGUUGUAAAGCUCUUUUGUCAGGGAAGAAACGGGUCUUUCUAAUACAGAGAUCUAAUGACGGUACCUGAAGAAUAAGCACCGGCUAACUACGUGCCAGCAGCCGCGGUAAUACGUAGGGUGCAAGCGUUAAUCGGAAUUACUGGGCGUAAAGCGUGCGCAGGCGGUUUUGUAAGACUGUCGUGAAAUCCCCGGGCUCAACCUGGGAAUGGCGAUGGUGACUGCAAGGCUAGAGUUUGGCAGAGGGGGGUAGAAUUCCACGUGUAGCAGUGAAAUGCGUAGAUAUGUGGAGGAACACCGAUGGCGAAGGCAGCCCCCUGGGUCAAAACUGACGCUCAUGCACGAAAGCGUGGGGAGCAAACAGGAUUAGAUACCCUAG